rfam:Firmicutes bacterium CAG:882 genomic scaffold, scf358
UUUGGAAGAUGCGUGGUUGUUCUUAGCACUCUGCUUAUCACAUAGCCAAAGUCAGUAUGGAUACUGACUUAGAUGCCAUAGCCCACGGACGGGCGUUUGGCAUCGUUGGCGGACGGUAAAACAGCUUGUCAGAGUGCUUAGAACAACCUGCAUCGGACAAC